GCUGAUCGCAAGCUGCAACAGUCGAUGCGUCAUGAAAAGAAAUACACGGUUGUGUUAUGUGUUAACCUCGAUUCCCCUCCUUGCCAAAGGCGCGGAUUCGACGAGUCGUGAUUCAAGGUCGUCGUAGUCGCGUCGUAAUAAACGCGGUUACCAUGUGUUACCGGCAAUGAACGAAUUUAACUUGUUCUCGUUCACUCACUUGUUCCGCGCUCAUCCAAAUGCUAAGCACGCGACGAAUUCAAUUCUCUACAACUGUUUAAAUGGUUCAAACCAUGCACAACACUUAGCCAAAAUGGCUGAGCGACGCCAACGCCAUCAUUAUCGAAAUACAUAAAUAGAAUAAUUAUAGAUCAGAUUAACGUUAAUUCGAUGAUGUCAUCAAUGGAAUCAUUGAGAAUAACUAAUUAUUAUGAUUAUUUAUGAAUGAAGGAUAGUGUUCAGUA